CGGAUGCGAUCAUACCAGCA
rnacentral:snRNA from 1 species